GUGGUGUUAGUGAUCCGACCGGCAUCAACUUGCGAUGUUCACUGUAACAUGUACGAUAGCAAGUGUUCUUGAAAACAUUGUCGGACGUUCAGAAGCAAAUGAGGUAUAUGUAUGUGGGAUACAUAAAAUAAAAAAAAUGUGAUGUUGUUCAUGUUCCAAGGCAAAGGAUUUUUCACCUGUAGAUGUCGAUGACAUAGAAGCACGCCUUUACACCAUUAGAGCUGAGGACGGAAAGUUUCACAAAGCUCAGAUAUUUUUUCUUGGCGUAUGGCAGCUAAGGGAAAGGGAAGUACAACUCGAUACAUUUUAUAUAAUUGUUCAUACAGUUGCCACGUUCAAACUUAGAUGGCAGCAGUUCUGUAAUAAUAACUUAAAGUAAAUAAAUGAACGUCAAAUACAGUGCAACAGGCUCUAUCGUGUAAAAUAUCUAUUUCCAUUGUGUGAAAUACACAAACAUUGCAGAAAAUGGGUAAACGACGUGAUUUGUCCCCUACUAGAAUUGGCCAAAUUUCCGGUAUGUUAAAAGCUAAAAACGUGAGCCAGUAAGAAAUAGCUAAAAUUUUAUGUGUCUCACGAAUUUCAGUGAAGCAUAUAUAAAAACAGAUUAACCUUGGCAAAUUUUUAAAGGUUAAACGCAAAGAUGCGUGUGGUCGUCCUCGAAUAACUUCCGAGAGGACAGACAGAAGAAUUCGUUAUAUAUACAUCCGAAAUCGAAAAAUGGACUUGAAUCUUUUGGAAAAACAGAUGACUAAAGCAUGAAUACAAGUUUCUGAAAGAACAACACGGCAUAGGUUAGCUGAAGAAGGUCUUGUCUCCCGAAGACCGGCACGCAAACCUAGGCUCAUACCAGCCAUGAUUACAAAACAUUACAGAUGGGCCCAAAAGUAUAGGAAUUUCGCAAAGGAUGACUGGAAAAAAGUAGAUUUACAAUCUAUUUCUAUUGUAAAUUCAAAAUUUAAGUAAAAUUUGUGACAAUCCUCGGCAUUUUUAAUAUUUUACUGGUAAAUUUCUCAGAUGAAUCCACUUUUCAAGUUUUGGUCGAAAAGGCUCAGUUUGUUAGGCAUUGAUCGGAUAAGAAAUACAAGAAUGAUUGUAUUGUUCCAACAAUAAAACAGCCUCCUUCGGUUAUGGUAUGGUCUGUAAUAAGUAUGAAAGGUCCAGGGCCCCUGUACAUCGUGGAAGGUACAAUGAAUUCAGAACAAUACGAGAAAGUGUUGGAAAAACAGCUGCUUCCAACGAUGAAAAAAUGGUUCAAAAAACGCGAGAAGCCUACUUUUAUGCACGAUGGUGCACCGUUCCACCGUUCUAAACAUAUAUCAACGUAAUUAGAGAAGAAAAAAGUCACCGUUCCUGACUGGCCUGGAAAUUCUUCAGACAUGAAUCCUAUAGAGAAUGUUUGGAACUUUAUAAAACGUUAAGUUUCUAAGCAUGCUCCUACAACCAAGCAGGAU